rfam:Felis catus isolate Cinnamon breed Abyssinian chromosome C2, whole genome shotgun sequence.
GCCUGGGUGGCUCAAUUGGUUAAGCACCCGAUUUCAGCUCAGGUCCCGAUCUCACUGCUCGUGGGUUCGAGCCCCACAUCAGGCU